GAGAGAUUUGGGGGAAGCUCUGCCUCAGCUGCAGGGUCACAGAAGGCAGGACUCAGUGACAAUCUCCACCAUGGCCUGGUCCCCUAUCCUUCUCACCCUCAUCGCUCACUGCACAGGAUCCUGGGCCCAGUCUAUGCUGACUCAGGCAGCCUCAGUGUCUGGGGCCCUGGGCCAGAGGGUCACCAUCUCCUGCACUGGAAGCAGCUCCAACAUUGGGGGUAAUUAUGUAUCCUGGUACCAACAGCUCCCAGGAACAGCCCCCAAAACCCUCAUCUAUAGUAACAGUCAACGCCCCUCUGGGGUCCCCGAUCGAUUCCCUGGCUCCAAGUCUGGCAAUUCGGCCUCCCUGACCAUCACUGGGCUGAAGUCUGAGGACGAGGCUGAUUAUUACUGUGUGUCCUAUGAUGACAGCCUGAGUGCUGGCACAGUGCUCCAGGCCUGUGGGGAAGUGAGACAAAAACCUGCUGUCCCCCAAGCGAUGGAGCUUUCCUGUGCAGCCCCCACUCCUCGGCCAUGUCAGCUGCUUCCUUUGUUUGUUUGACCUAAAAGUGGUCCG